GAUGAACGCUGGCGGCGUGCUUAACACAUGCAAGUCGAACGAAGCAACUUAUUACGAUCCCUUCGGGGUGACGAUUUGUUGACUGAGUGGCGGACGGGUGAGUAACGCGUGGGUAACCUACCUUGUACAGGGGGACAACAGUUGGAAACGACUGCUAAUACCGCAUAAGCGCACAGCUUCGCAUGAAGCAGUGUGAAAAGUUUUUUCGGUACAAGAUGGACCCGCGUCUGAUUAGCUAGUUGGUGAGGUAACGGCUCACCAAGGCGACGAUCAGUAGCCGACCUGAGAGGGUGACCGGCCACAUUGGGACUGAGACACGGCCCAAACUCCUACGGGAGGCAGCAGUGGGGAAUAUUGCACAAUGGGCGAAAGCCUGAUGCAGCGACGCCGCGUGAGCGAAGAAGUAUUUCGGUAUGUAAAGCUCUAUCAGCAGGGAAGAUAAUGACG
rnacentral:rRNA from 1 species